rnacentral:lncRNA from 1 species
AUGUUUACAGAGGAAAAGUUGCUGAACUUACUAGAAGCCAUUUUUGAUCAUUUCAUACUUAUCUAUUUUGUUUUGUUUCAGAGAGUAGCUACAUUGGUAAUUUUAGAUUAUCAAAAGAUGCAUAUCGGACUUUGUAUCAUGACUUAGGACCAUAUCUGAAGGUCCAAUGCUCUACAACUGUGCAAUCGACUUUAAGUGACAAAUGCCCUCAAUCAGCCUGCAAUCGUGAGAUAAUAUAUCAAGUUUCCUCGGACAAAAACUGAGCAUAUAGAAGUCUCCAGAGGUUUUAAUGACAAAUUUGGAUUUCUUGGAGUACUUGGAUGCAUCCAUGGCACACAAAUUGCCAUUAUCCAACCUCACAAGUGGGAAGAGGCCUUCUUCAAUAGCAAGUAUUACCAUUCAUUGCAUGUUAUGUUGGUUUGUGAUGGAGAUAUGAGCAUUACAUUUAUGAUGCAUCCAAUGGGAGUGUUAGUGCUAGACUACUAGCCAAGAUAACCAUAUUUGGAACAACAGCACUUUGAGAAGGGAAAAGGAACAUCUCCUUAAUUUUAAUAUGUUUAAGUUCAUUAAGCGGACUUGUGUGGUCCUUGAAAUGUAAAUUAUGAAGUCAGUGUGGUGUAAUCAAAAGUGGCAGAUUUGUUAUUCAAUAAUACAACAUCUAAACAAACCUUUCUUUAUUGACAUCAAAUAAACUAUUUUCAUUAUGCAUAUUUAUUUAUUUUGUGUUAUUACAUAAUUUGUUUCAUUACACCCCUCUCAUUAACCAACCUAUCUCUCAAGUAGAUACAUUUUUUCUAAUCUUGUGUCCAUUGUGCUUAAUAAAGUAGUUUAUCCAUCUAUCUUUAACUUGUAAUAAAUAAAUCCAUUUAUUUUGUAUAAAUACAAGCUUGCGGGGCCUUAUUGGACUAGACUAUUUGUAAUGUGUAAUAGUAUAGUCAAAAAAGCCCUGCGAGUGGAUCAAAGAAAUGUAAUCAAUUAGAACAUACUACAAAUAUAAUAUUGUUCCCAAUUCUUACUAUAAUAUGGAAAUAUAAGUUAAUUGCAUCCAACAUCUUCAUCAAUACACCUAUACAAAUCCUUUUAUUAGAUAGUAGUUGGCAAGGAGUGGGUGUAUACAUAUACU